rnacentral:misc_RNA from 1 species
GUCUUUUGUUUUUGUUUUAUUGGUAUAUAUGACAAAAGGGAAGAAAGGGGUUGUUUUGGUUGAAAAAAAGUGGGACGCGGCUUUCCCCCCCCGAAGAGGAGAAAAAACGCAUCCCAAAGUUCACAAAGGGGUGUGGGGUUUUUUUGUCAGGUAUUUCACUGAUGAUCCUUCCGCAGGUUCACCUACGGAAA